CUCAGCAGCAAAGUCAUGGGAGGUGAAUCAUCAUCGCCAUCUAGAAGUCCAUCUCCACCUCCAGCUAGAAGUCCAUCUCCACCUCCAGCUAGAAGUCCAUCUCCACCUCCAGCUGAAUGUCCACCUCCA